ACAUCGGUAGCACAGUGGUUAGUGCAACAGAAAGACGCGGGUUCGAUUCCCGUCCGAUGUC
rfam:Nippostrongylus brasiliensis genome assembly, scaffold: NBR_scaffold0007466